rnacentral:rRNA from 1 species
CCUACGGGAGGCAGCAGUGGGGAAUUUUGCGCAAUGCUCGCAAGAGUGACGCAGCGACGCCGCGUGAAUGACGAAGGCCUUCGGGUCGUAAAGUUCUUUCGACAGGGAAGAAAAUGCCUAUAAGCAACUGUGUAUGUAUCGACGGUACCUGUAUAAGCAGCCCCGGCUAACUCCGUGCCAGCAGCCGCGGCAAUACGGAGGGGGCGAGCGUUGUUCGGAGUGACUGGGCGUAAAGAGAACGUAGGCGGUGUUGUAAGUCAUUAGUCAAAGAGUAGAGCUCAACUUUAGUAAGGCUAGUGAUACUAUAAUACUGGAGUAUCAGAGAGGAAUGCGGAAUUCCUGGUGUAGCGGUGAAAUGCGUAGAUAUCAGGAGGAAUACCGUUAGCGAAGGCGGCAAUCUGGCUGGAAACUGACGCUGAGGUGCGAAAGCGUGGGUAGCAAACAGGAUUAGAUACCCUGGUAGUC